AUUGAACGCUGGCGGUAUGCUUUACACAUGCAAGUCGAACGGCAGCGGGGGCUUCGGCCUGCCGGCGAGUGGCGAACGGGUGAGUAAUGCAUCGGAACGUGCCCAUGUCGUGGGGGAUAACGUAUCGAAAGGUACGCUAAUACCGCAUACGUCCUGAGGGAGAAAGCGGGGGAUCUUCGGACCUCGCGCGUUUGGAGCGGCCGAUGUCGGAUUAGCUAGUAGGUGAGGUAAAGGCUCACCUAGGCGACGAUCCGUAGCGGGUCUGAGAGGAUGAUCCGCCACACUGCGACUGAGACACGGCCCAGACUCCUACGGGAGGCAGCAGUGGGGAAUUUUGGACAAUGGGCGCAAGCCUGAUCCGGCCAUGCCGCGUGAGUGAAGAAGGCCUUCGGGUUGUAAAGCUCUUUCGGCCGGGAAGAAAUCGUGUUCUCUAACAUAGGACAUGGAUGACGGUACCGGACUAAGAAGCACCGGCUAACUACGUGCCAGCCGCCGCAGUAACAC
rnacentral:rRNA from 1 species